CACGUAGGGGGCAAGCGUUGUCCGGAUUUAUUGGGCGUGAAGAGCUCGUAGGCGGCUUAGUAAGUCGGGUGUGAAACCUCCAGGCUCAACCUGGAGACGCCACCCGAUACUGCUGUGGCUAGAGUCCGGUAGGGGAGCGUGGAAUUCCUGGUGUAGCGGUGAAAUGCGCAGAUAUCAGGAGGAACACCAGCGGCGAAGGCGGCGCUCUGGGCCGGUACUGACGCUGAGGAGCGAAAGCGUGGCGAGCAAACAGG
rnacentral:rRNA from 1 species